rnacentral:rRNA from 1 species
CCUACGGGCGGCAGCAGUAGGGAAUAUUGCUCAAUGGGGGAAACCCUGAAGCAGCAACGCCGCGUGGAGGAUGAAGGUCUUAGGAUUGUAAACCCCUUUUGUGAGAGAAGAUAAAGACGGUAUCUCACGAAUAAGCACUGGCCAACACCGUGCCAGCAGCCGCGGUAAUACGGAGGGUGCAAGCGUUACGCGGAAUCACUGGGCGUAAAGGGUGCUCAGGCGGGCUUGUAAGUCUGUUGGGAAAACCUGUAGCUUAACUACAGAACUGCAUUUGAAACUCGGAGUCUAGAGUGUGGUAGAGGUAGGUGGAAGUCGUGGUGUAGGGGUGAAAUCCUUAGAUAU